AACGCACGAGACCUGCGGACCUGCGGAGGGAUCAUUAAUGAGAAACUGCCCCUCGCGGGUAGAUCUCCCACCCUUUGUAAACUUACCUUUGUUGCUUUGGCAGGCCCGUCUCCGGACCGCCGGCUUCGGCUGGCCAGUGCCUGCCAGAGGAUUCUAAAACUCUGUCUGUCAGUGUUGUCUGAGUCUAUGUACAAUCGUUAAAACUUUUAACAAUGGAUCUCUAGAUCGGAAGAGCACACG
rnacentral:misc_RNA from 1 species